UCAUGCAGUUUAUUAUUUCAUAUUGGUCACUUUCGCUGUUAAAAAAUACACAGAUAGAAAUCCACGAAACCGAUUUCAGUGAACAUGUCUAUUGUUGAGAAUGAUAGAAACGUAAGGUUCCGACUUCACUGUCCUUCACACAAAUUUUCUACCAGACAUUCGAAAAUAAAUGAAGAUCACCAUGAACACCAUUAUGUCUAAUAUGCUUACUUAUGAGAGUUAGUGGUUGUUGAAUGUGCGCUUUGAAGUAAUAGCUGCUAGGUACUUCAGUCUUACAGAUUAUUACACAGUCAACGUCUCCACUUAACAUUAAGUGCAAUGUGUUCAUCUUCUUCACUGGCCGAAAUUCGAUACAGUUUUUGGCUUUUUAUUCGUGAAAACAAUUCCCAACAAGUCUAUAAUGUGGUAUACAAAUUAUUGAAAGUUUGCACAGUAAAAGAUGUUCUAAACUUCAAUAUGCGCUAAAUUUACAUUCCGUCUAAUGUUAUUAUGAUCGCCCUUAGAUAGUAAAUGAUUUACUAUAUAUGAGGACUUACAGGAUAUUUUAAUUUCCUUCCAUUUUGAUUAAAAGAAGUUUAGUCUUCCGACAAAAACAAUAACAUCAGGAUAUUGUAAAAUAUUUAACAUACUACUAGGUCAUUAACCAUGUUAAAGUAGAACGUAAUUACACAGUUACAGAAUACAGAAGCUGAUUUGGUGAACUGUUUUUGCACUGUGAAUUAGCUUGUUGUGAAGUGCACGAACAAUGUGAGGAAAGGAGGUUGAUUUCUUUGGGUGUGCGGAGUAAAAAGUUUAUAAAUUCAUACACCUGGAUUGCAUUCAUGCAAAAUGAAAGCAACUGACGCAAUCAGAUGAUUCGUUUUAAGCUAAUAAAACUCAGUAUUUGUAUGAAUUGAAAACCGGCCGUAAAUAUAGUUUAUUUGGAGAAUAAAAGUACACCGAUUGGGUGACAUUUAGAACAUUUGGA